rnacentral:rRNA from 1 species
AUGGACGGAAUUGUCAACAAGGAGUUUCCUGAGUUGGCCCAGACAGGGCUGAACUACCUGUCAUGGUCCUCGGACUGCGAGAUCUUUCUCCAGGGCAAAACCCUCUUGAGGGCGAUCAGUAAGGGGGCCCAGCUGGCCCCCACUGAUCCCAAGUUCGAAACUGAGAAUGUGUAGGCCCUGCACUUUCUCCGUCAUCACCUGUCACCUACUCUAAAAGAUGAGUAUAUGGCUGAGUGCAGUGCUUCUGGCCUUUGGACCACUCUUAAGCAGCGGUUUGAGCAGCUGAAGUACACUGUGAAGCCACGUGCAGAGGCAGAGUGGAUCCGUCUGAGGUUUGCAGACUUCAAGACGAAGAUUGGAAAAACCCUAUCAACUUUCCACCCUGACGCGGUCCAGUCCUCACAGAACUACCGCCAGGGGAACUACACGAGGUAUUCAGAGUUGAUUGACGUCCUCUAGGUGGCGGAGGCGCAUGACGAGGUUCUGAAAAAGAACUUUGUCGCGCAACCACUUGGGGGGAGUUCUCGCCAGGAGGUGAAUGCUCUCAAAGUCUGCAAGCCUCAACAGAAGAAGAGGGGCCGCAAGGCGGCUAAGCAGAACAAGCCGGGCAAGGGAGGGCAGAGGCCUCGGGACUGCUUCCAUUGUGGCUCGGUGGAGCAUUUCUCCCGCCAGCGCCGCGCACCACCGGAGGUCGUUGAAGCAUACAAGGCUCGGAAGGCGCGUGAGAUGCACCUCACCUUGGUUCAGGAGGGAGCACCACCGCCGCCCAUGGCGGCACCCGUGAUGAUCUCUACGCCCCUGUUGCGCCCAUAG